UGCACAAUGAACAUUAUCAAAUAUUAUUAAUGUUGUAAAAUAUAUUGUUCAUUGUUAGUUCAUAUUAGCUAAGGCAUUACCAAAUGUUAAGGAAUAAACUCUUAUAGUAAAGUGUUACUAAAUUUUCUUUUACCAUUUCCUUCACAAUGUCUACUUAUUUCUAUGGCUAACAGAUUUUGUAACAUUUGUCUUUUUUACAGUCUUACCAUUGCUUGUAAGCUGGAUUGGGUAAGAUGGAUCAUCUUUAAAGGCACCAGGAGUUAAGGCAGAUGUGGAGGCACAACGUGUGAUACCAGACACACACCAAGCACAUUAUGUUCGGACAUUCAAUCAUGACAUGAUCCAUGUGGAUGCUGUCCAUUGAGGAAAGAGUUUGUUCAGCGGUUUCUGGAUAGAAUUAAUUCCAAAGAUGGGAAAAAGUGCACAUCCAGACAAGGAGCAAGCAAAAAGACAAGGAACUUGGUGCAGAGAAAAGCUGUGGCCAUUAACCCCCAUGUGAACAGCUUCAUGCAGUCCCUGAUUGAGUUCGAAUGGACGACUUCAAAGUAAAGGCCACUGUGGUCUGUCUGCCACAGUUUAAUGCAUUUAUUUUUAGUGUUAAAUGAAAUUUAAGUAGAAUAUUUAAAACUAUGGGCCAUUGUUCUUUUUACCACAGUGAAAUGUUACCUUUUAGUCGAUGAUGGACUUUAAACUGAAAACUUCAAACUAUGGAACAGUGUUCUAUUUGCCAGAGUUAAAUAUGUUACAGCAG